rnacentral:rRNA from 1 species
GUGUCAGCCGCCGCGGUAAGACGGAGGGGGCUAGCGUUGUUCGGAAUCACUGGGCGUAAAGGGGGCGUAGGCGGUUUGGCAAGUCAAGUGUGAAAUUCCACGGCUCAACUGUGGAGCUGCGCUUGAAACUGCCAAACUUGAGGCCAGUAGAGGGAGACGGAAUUGCCGGUGUAGGGGUGAAAUCCGUAGAUAUCGGCAAGAACGCCGGUGGGGAAGCCGGUCUCCUGGGCUGAGCCUGACGCUGAGGCCCGAAAGCUAGGGGAGCGAACGGGAUUAGAUACCCCGGUAGUCCUAGCCGUAAACGAUGCUCACUAGGUGUGGGGCGCACAUGCGCUCUGUGCUGAAGCUAACGCGUUAAGCAUCCCGCCUGGGGAGUACGGCCGCAAGGUUGAAACUUAAAGGAAUUGGCGGGG